rnacentral:lncRNA from 1 species
CACACACACACACACACACACACACACACACACUCACGCACAGCCUACCCCAUCCAAAAUGUUUCCGACAAAAAUCUGGCACUCCUGGUUCUAAUCAAAAUACUGAACUUUGGAACAAAUUAACAUUCCGCAGCCUGCAGGGAAGGGGGAACUCAGCCGAGACAACUUCGGCUCACAACCAUCACAAAAAUAGCUCCUCCUGGGGAAGACACAUUCUGCUAACAAGGUCACUUUUGUUUGGCUUCUCCUGCCAUCUGGCUGAGUGGCACCAGGGGCUGGCUCUGGGACCAGCUAAAUUCUGCAGCGUGGAUGGGAGCCGGGUGGCACCGCAGAAGGCUUCUCAGCCUCCUGGCAAGAAAAGUCGGUGCAAAGUUACCUUCAGACACCCCAGAAAGAGCACRGGCAGAUGGAGCCCCGGUUUCACCCAGCCCUGCUCUGCUCGGCUCUGCACUGAAGCUUGCAGGAGGUGUCACUCCAGAGACAGCAACAAGCAGGUCCUCAUCUGUAGAAUGGAGAUCACUUGCCCAGACCCUGAGCAGCUAUGGGGAAAGGGGACAAGGAGGGCGAAUGUCCUGGCCUAGAGCACCUGGCUGAGGUCCUCUGGAGAGAACGCGCUGGAAUCCUGAGCUCUGUGUUCAUUCCCAGAGGGCUUGCAUGCCGAGGAAGCUUCUGCAGCACUUGACGUGGCCCAGAUGGUCUGGCUGGAACUCUCUGGGUGUGAAGGCAGGGCUGGGUCUUGAGCAUUGGUACUUUUCCUUUUCCCCCCAAAGAUGAUGCUUCUUUGAUGCCAGUGAUUUUGUCUUCUAAAGUAGCUUGAAAAACAAUGAAUGCAGACACAAAAUAUUGCUUACAGCUAUGAGGAAUUUGUGACAUACUGAAGCCAUCUAUCUCCUGGGAGGAAUCCAAGGGGUCCCAGAAUAUCUCCUGGGGACCAAAGGAGGGGAACAAAAAUCUUCAAUCCCAUAGAGGAAGAAACUUCAAAUGACCUACUCUCAAGGAAAAUAGGUUGAUAACACAUCUUUUUCAGGAUUUAAUAUUUUUUUAAAAAAAAGACAAAUGAAGGGACUUUGACUUCCAGGUGAGCUGAAUCCAGUCUCCAGGGGGUUUGAAGCAAGGUGGUUCAGGGGCCUGGGAUUCUACAGCUGGGGUGGGGGAUGACAAGGGAGUUGUAGGGUUUCCCCCAAAGUGGAUUGGAAACUUUACCUCCUGGGUGACAGAGUUGGGAGGCGGGGCUUAAUGGGAGGUCUGUAGGUCACGAGGACUCCAGGACCCUUGCCAACAGAUCAAUGCCCAUUGUAAAAGGGCUUGGGCUCCUGUUCCAUCUCUUGCUGGCUCUCUGUCACCUUAUCGUGCCCUACUACCUUCUGCCACAGGAGUAUGCAGCACCAUGUCCCCCCAGCAGAUGCAGGGCCCUCACCUGGGACUUCCUGGCCUCUAGAACUGUAAGAACAAAUUUUUAUGCUUCUAAAUGUCCAGUCUGUGGUGUUCUGUGAUAGCAACGCAAGGCAGAGCUCCUCUAGAGAUUACCCACCACUUCAAGUACACGCAGCAAGUAUAUAGGGAGCUUUAGUUAUGCCAGGCAAUGUGUUCAGGUCUCGGUACAUGGCAGAGCAGGAAAGAACUUGAAGUCUCCUUCAGUGUGGAUAGAAGAAGUGAGCCAGACGUCUAUCACAUAGCCACUCAGAGAAGGGAGGGGGGUGGGCCGAGGGCAGAAAUUGACAUCCUACGUAGGGAAACACAGGCCACUGUAAUAUCUUGACAUAGAAAAGGACAGCAGUGGACCCAGAAUGUUCUUAUUUAAUGGAUAUAGGUUUUUGUCAGAGGAUCAGAAAUUCCUCCCCUGCCCACCCCCUCACUUUCUCUCUCUCUCUCUCUCUCUCUCUCUCUCUCUCUCUCUCUCUCUCUCCCUCUCCCUCUCUCUCUCUCUCUCCCUCUCUCUUUCUGUGCAGAGGACUGAACCUAGCACCUUGCACCUGCUAAGCAAGGACUCUAUCCCUGAGCUCCACCCACAACUCGGCUCCUGAGUCUCCUAUAGAAAAGAUAGUCAGUAGGCCGGGCUGUGGCUCAGUGGUGGAGUGUUCGCCUAGCAUGUGUGAGGCCCUGGGUCCGAUCCUCAGCACCACAUAAAAAUAAAAUAAUAAAAAAAUAGGUAUUGUGUCCA